GGGCCAAUCAGCCGUGGCCUUUGGGAGGGGAAGAAACGGGAGGCUCACACGGUGACCGGACGCCGUGGGGGGAGCGGCUGGAGAUUUGUGAUGAUGAAUUCUCUGGAACAAGCUGAAGAUCUCAAGGCUUUCGAGAGGAGGCUGACCGAGUACAUCUCGUGUUUACAGCCGGCGACGGGACGGUGGCGAAUGAUUCUCAUAGUUGUUUCGGUAUGUACUGCCACAGGUGCCUGGAAUUGGUUAAUAGAUCCUGAAACACAGAAGGUAUCUUUUUUCACAUCGCUAUGGAAUCAUCCAUUCUUCACCAUCAGCUGUAUAACCCUUAUUGGUUUAUUCUUUGCCGGAAUACAUAAAAGAGUGGUUGCACCAUCAAUCAUAGCUGCAAGAUGUCGAACUGUUUUGGCAGAGUACAAUAUGUCUUGUGAUGAUCACCCCCCUUUCUAUUGGUCGCAACAAGAUUUAAUCUAAAAAGGAUCCCUUUCACGGAUAUCUUCUUCCCAGACCCAAUCGUUCCGGUUUUGAAGGAGCCAAUUUAAUCAGACUUUCUUGAGUUCAAGACUGGAAAACUAAUAUUAAAACCCAGGCCCCAUGUCCAAUGAUGAAUCUACGUGCCAGUUCUGUGGCUCUUUGGAAAAAGUGGAAGUAAUUUCAAAUGCAACACUGCACAAAUGCACUGAUGCAAUGUUCCUUUUGGUGUCAACAUCGUUAUGUUCAGCUAGCUAAAGCUCCCUAACGCAGAAAAAAUCUUCAGCAACAGAAGUGCAUUUUAUGAGAAAUCUAAUGUUGCAACCAACGGGAUUUUGGAUAACUUGGUAUAAAAUACAACAUUGAACUUGUAUUUAAAUCUUGCCAGGUGAAUUUAAUUUAUUAGAAAGUUUGGGUUCUUAUAUUUUAACUUCUGGGUUGGACCGCUCAUUUUAUUAUUGAUAAGCUUUUGUAACCAUUUUGUGACUCUGACUCAAAAAGUACAACAUCAAGGAUUUAAAAACUGUGACCGAUUCUCAUUGUGAAUUGGGCUGAACUGUAUCAGGACUGAUCCAACAAGAUUGCUAAACCAUUAUUGCAUGCCUUUAUUCUAAUCCAUUACUUUUCCUCCAUACAGAUGCUUUUUUUUAUAUAUAUAUAUAUAAAGUUAUGAGAAUGUUCGGCUGAGUUAUUUUUACUGUUCACCAAUUCGAUUUAUGAGGCAUUUGUAUCCUUAUUCCAUUUAGACUGGAGAUGAAUUAGAAAUGGAUCCCCAGUGCUUUGGGUGAGAACUUGAACCCUUCAAUCUGCCAAAUUGUGUUGUGUACAAAUCUAUUUAUAGGAAGAGAUAACUUGUUUCAUUUGAAUUGCAAACUAUUGCAUAUAAAGAUUCUAAUUUUACUUCUCAAUUAUGCAGCCUUGUAUAACCAUGUAGAAAUGAACUUUUCAAUCUUACAGUUAUGUUCACUUGCAUUGCAAUUCUAGGACCUAUUGCAGUUCCACUUCCGCCUCUUUGUAUUUUAAUGACUUGAAUGAUUUAAACUUUUAAAUUUUAAAAGCAUCAUGACUUUGUAAAUGUUUUCCAGGCACUUGAAUUUUGUAGGCCUGUGUACAUAGCAAUAAACAAUUUAUAUGGAAAA